AGGACGAACGCUGGCGGCAGGCCUAACACAUGCAAGUCGAACGCCCCGCAAGGGGAGUGGCAGACGGGUGAGUAACGCGUGGGAACAUACCUUUCGGUUCGGAAUAGCUCAGGGAAACUUGGAUUAAUACCGGAUACGUCCGCAAGGAGAAAGAUUUAUCACCGAAAGAUUGGCCCGCGUCCGAUUAGCUAGUUGGUGGGGUAAAAGCUCACCAAGGCGACGACGGGUAGCC
rnacentral:rRNA from 1 species